UAAGGAGGACUGCUUGAGCCCAGAAGUCGAGGCUGCAGUGAACUGAGAUCAUGCCACUGCACUCCAGCCUGGGUGACCGAGUGAGACCCUGUCUCAAAAAACAAAACAAAACAAAAAAGGCUAUAAUCACACUUUGAGUUAGGUGCUAGUGCCCCGUCCCCCCCGCCGCCCCAUUCCUGCACUGAUGCAUCCAUCUUCCACAAUAAGUAGUGAGGGACACCUAGCAUCACACUAGUUGAAAAGAAUUCAAGAAUUAGACAUUGAACUACCUGCUUGAAAAUAAGUGAACAAUUUUAUAUGUGGCAAAGAUUAGCAACAGGGAUUUCACUUGCAAUGGAGAAACAAAAGUGUUUCAAUCAGUUACUUAAAAACCGUCCCCAAGUCUAAAUAAGAAGAAGCUACAAACAGAUAUCUAAAAAUAGAAAAUGGCCUAACUGCUUAUGGUUUUAAAAUGUCAAGUCUUAUAAACGUUAUGUGGCAGAGGGAAACGAAGCGAAGAAACUCCUCAGGAAUGGGGGUGCCCAAGGAGGCUUUUUAAAAAAAUGUGAUGUCCUCAUGCAGCUCCAUGAGUAGGGAUCAUAAACUGCAGGUAGCCAUCUCUGUACCUACAAUGUAUUUGUUCCAAGUCAUAUGUUAGGGAGACAAAGGUAGAACGGACAUGUGGGGGUGUCUAGAGGCCCAUUAGGUCCGUGCCUGUCAAUUCUGUGACAUUCAGUGAUGUUGCUGAGUUAGAAUACUUCAGAACUAACCACUUCCGCAACGAGUGUCCUACCAGAUGGCUUCAGCUGAUGGAUUAAAGGGCCACUCCCCCUCCAGGAAUCUCUCCAGUCUGAAGACUUCUGAUACCUGACCUGCUUACACUCCAAUGCUAAAUGUCAUAAUUAUCUCUCUCAAACAGAAAUUACAGACAUUAUCUAUAAACAGCUGUCAAACGUGUAGGGAGACCAAAAACAUUUUUUUAAAACCCAGAAAAACCCCUCUAAAAGUAUAAUACGAGAUAUCUCCUUCAAGUUCACAUCAUCUCUUUGUGAACUUGCCACAUUCAGACCGUAGGCAUAGCAGUUUAAACUUCCAACUGUAUUCAAUGUGGUUGAAAAAUUAUAAUGAUUAGAAAGCAAUGCACACUCAAGUUAAAAUAAUCUGCUCAGCGUGCCCGGCUAAUUUUUUUGUAUAGACAG